rnacentral:rRNA from 1 species
GACGAACGCUGGCGGCGUGCCUAAUACAUGCAAGUCGAGCGCAGGAAACUGACGGAACUCUUCGGAGGGAAGGCAGUGGAAUGAGCGGCGGACGGGUGAGUAACACGUAAGGAACCUGCCUCAAGGAUUGGGAUAACUCCGAGAAAUCGGAGCUAAUACCGGAUAGUUCAACGGACCGCAUGGUCCGCUGAUGAAAGGCGCUCCGGCGUCACCUUGAGAUGGCCUUGCGGUGCAUUAGCUAGUUGGUGGGGUAACGGCCCACCAAGGCGACGAUGCAUAGCCGACCUGAGAGGGUGAUCGGCCACACUGGGACUGAGACACGGCCCAGACUCCUACGGGAGGCAGCAGUAGGGAAUCUUCCACAAUGGACGAAGGUCUGAUGGAGCAACGCCGCGUGGGUGAUGAAGGUUUUCGGAUCGUAAAACUCUGUUGUAAGGGAAGAACACGUACGAGAGGAAAUGCUCGUACCUUGACGGUACCUUACGAGAAAGCCACGGCUAACUAUGUGCCAGCCGCCGCGGUAAGAC